rnacentral:rRNA from 1 species
UACGAAGGGGGCUAGCGUUGCUCGGAAUCACUGGGCGUAAAGGGUGUGUAGGCGGUUCUUUAAGUUUGGUGUGAAAUCUCCCGGCUCAACCGGGAGGGUGCGCCGAAUACUGAGGGACUAGAGUGCGGGAGAGGAAAGUGGAAUUCCUGGUGUAGCGGUGAAAUGCGUAGAUAUCAGGAGGAACACCGGUGGUGUAGACGGCUUUCUGGACCGUAACUGACGCUGAGACACGAAAGCGUGGGUAGCAAACAGG